UACCUGGUUGAUCCUGCCAGUAGUCAUAUGUUUGUCACAAAGAUUAAGCCAUGAAUGUGUUAGUAUGAACAAAUUCAGACUGUGAAACUGUGAAUGGCGUAUUAAAUUAGUUAUAGUUUGUUUGAAGGUAGAUACUACUCGUAUAACCGUAGUAAUUCUAGACCUAAUACGUAGAACAAACCCCGACUUAUUGAAGGGAUGCAUUUAUUAGAUAAAAGGUCGACGCGGCCUCUGCCUGUUGCUGCGAUGAUUCAUGACAACUCGACGAAUCGCACGGCCAUCGUGCCGGCGACACAUCAUCCAAAUUUCUGCCCUACCAACUUUCGAUGAUAGGAUAGUGGCCUGCCAUGGUUGUGAAGGUUGAAGGAGAAUUAGGGUUCGAUUCCGGAGAGGGAGCCUGAAAAAUGGGGAGUUAUUGACAAUAAAUAAAUAACAAUACCGGUCUCUAUUAGUCUGGUAAUUGUAAUGAGUACAAUCUAAAUCCCUUAACGAGGAUCCAUUGGAGGGCAAGUCUGGUGCCAACAGUCGCGGUAAUUCCAGCUCCAGUAGAAUAUAUUUAAGUUGUUGCAGUCAAAAAACUCGUAGUUGGACUUUGGGAUGGGCCGGACGGUCCGCCCUAGGUGUGCACCGGUCGUCUCGUCCCUUCUGUCGGCGAUGCGCUCCUGGCCUUAAUUGGCCGGGUCGUGCCUCCGGCGCUGUUACUUUGAAGAAAUUGAAGUGCUCAAAGAAAGCCUACGCUCUGUAUACAUUAGCCUGGGAUAGCAUUAUAGGAUUUCGGUCCUAUUCCGUUGGCCUUCAGGAUCAGAGUAAUGAUUAACACAGACAGUCGGGGGCAUUCGUAUUUCAUAGUCAAAGGUGAAAUUUUUGGAUUUAUGAUAGACGAACAACUGCGAAAGCAUUUGCCAAGGAUGUUUUCAUUAAUCAAGAACGAAAGUUGGGGGUUCGAAGACGAUCAGAUACCGUCCUAGUCACAACCAUAAUAGAUGCCAACCAGGGAUCGUUGGAUGUUUCUUUUAGGACUCUGCCUGCACCUUAUGAGAAAUCAAAGUUUUUGGGUUCCGGGGGGAGUAUCGUCGCAAGGCUCAAACUUAAAGGAAUUGACGGAAGGGCACCACCAGGAGUGGAGCCUGCAGAUUAAUUUGACUGAGCUGUUUCUUGAUUCUAUGGGUGGUGGCGCAUGGCCGUUUUUAGUUGGGGCAGCGAUUUGUCUGGUUAUAUUCGUUAACGAACGAGACCUCAGUCUGCUAACUAGCUAUGCGGAGGUAUCCCUUCGCAACCAGUUUCUUAGAGGGACUACGGCCUUUUAGGCCGCGGAAGUUUGAGGCAAUAACAGGUCAGUGAUGACCUUAGAUGUUCUGGGCCGCACACACGCUACACUGAUGUAUUCAACGAGCUUGUAGCCUUGUCCGACAGGCCCGGGUAAUAUUUGAACUUUCGUUGUGAUGGGGAUAGAUGAUUGCAAUUGUUGGUCUUCAACGAGGAAUUCCUAGUAAGAGUUGGUCAUCAGCUCGCGUUGACUACGUCCCUGCCCUUUGUACACACUGCCCAUUGCUCCUACCGAUUAAAUGAUCCGAUGAGAUGUUUGGAUCGCAGCGAUGUGGGCGGUUUGCUGCCCGCAACUUCGCGAGAAGUCCAUUGAACCUUCUCAUUUAGAGGAAGGAGAAGUCGUAACAAGAUAUCCGUAGGUGAACCUGCGGAAGGAAUAUUC
rfam:Solanum tuberosum cultivar DM 1-3 516 R44 scf00701_5, whole genome shotgun sequence.